CCUACGGGAGGCAGCAGUGGGGAAUAUUGCACAAUGGGGGAAACCCUGAUGCAGCGACGCCGCGUGAGUGAAGAAGUAAUUCGUUAUGUAAAGCUCUAUCAGCAGGGAAGAAAAUGACGGUACCUGAGUAAGAAGCCCCGGCUAACUACGUGCCAGCAGCCGCGGUAAUACGGAGGGGGCAAGCGUUAUCCGGAUUUACUGGGUGGAAAGGGAGCGUAGACGGCAGUGCAAGUCUGGAGUGAAAGGCGGGGGCUCAACCCCCGGACUGCUCUGGAAACUGUACGGCUGGAGUGCAGGAGAGGUAAGUGGAAUUCCUGGUGUAGCGGUGAAAUGCGUAGAUAUUAGGAGGAACACCAGUGGCGAAGGCAGCUUACUGGACUGUAACUGACGUUGAGGCUCGAAAGCGUGGGGAUCAAACAGGAUUAGAUACCCCAGUAGUC
rnacentral:rRNA from 1 species